rnacentral:rRNA from 1 species
UAAGCCAUGCGAGUCGAGAGGGUUCAGACCCCCGGCGGACUGCUCAGUAACACGUGGAUAACCUGCCCUAAGGUGGAGCAUAACCCCGGGAAACUGGGGAUAAUACUCCAUAGAUUAGAGACACUGGAAUGUUCUUUAGUCGAAAGUUCUGGCGCCUUAGGAUGGAUCUGCGGUCGAUUAGGUUGUUGUUGGGGUAACGGCCCAACAAGCCUGUAAUCGAUACGGGUUGUGGGAGCAAGAGCCCGGAGAUGGAAUCUGAGACACGAUUCCAGGCCCUACGGGGCGCAGCAGGCGCGAAAACUUUACAAUGCAGGAAACUGUGAUAAGGGAACUCCGAGUGCCCGUAUACGCGGGCUGUCCAGGUGUUUAAAAAUCAUCUGAAGAAAGGACCGGGCAAGACCGGUGCCAGCCGCCGCGGUAACACCGGCGGCCCGAGUGGUGACCGUUAUUAUUGGGUCUAAAGGGUCCGUAGCCGGUUUGGUCAGUCCUCCGGGAAAUCUGAUAGCUUAACUGUUAGGCUUUCGGGGGAUACUGCCAGGCUUGGAACCGGGAGAGGUAAGAGGUACUACAGGGGUAGGAGUGAAAUCUUGUAAUCCCUGUGAGACCACCUGUGGCGAAGGCGUCUUACCAGAACGGGUUCGACGGUGAGGGACGAAAGCUGGGGGAGCAAACCGGAUUAGAUACCCGGGUAGUCCCAGCCGUAAACUAUGCGCGUUAGGUGUAUCGGUGACCACGAGUUACCGAGGUGCCGAAGGGAAACCGUGAAACGUGCCGCCUGGGAAGUACGGUCGCAAGGCUGAAACUUAAAGGAAUUGGCGGGGGAGCACCACAACAGGUGGAGCCUGCGGUUUAAUUGGACUCAACGCCGGGAAGCUCACCGGAUAGGACAGCAGAAUGAUUGCCGGGCUGAAGACCCUGCAUGACUAGCUGAGAGGAGGUGCAUGGCCGUCGUCAGUUCGUACUGUGAAGCAUCCUGUUAAGUCAGGCAACGAGCGAGACCCA